UUGACCUCGGAUCAAGUAGGAAUACCCGCUGAACUUAAGCAUAUCAAUAAGCGGAAAAAGAAACCAACAGGGAUUGCCCUAGUAACGGCGAG
rnacentral:rRNA from 1 species